rnacentral:misc_RNA from 1 species
CAGACGUAUGCCCUUCGGGGGAUACCUCCUACCCUUUGUUAUUACUACACUGUCUGUUGCUUUGGCGGGCCCGCGCAAGCUGCCCGGCUUCGGCUGGUCAGUGCCCGCCAGAGGAACCUAAACCUAACAAUUUAUGUUAUUGUCUGAAAUACUAUAUAAUAUUUA